CUGGGAGAGGAGCCCCAGCCCUGGGAUUCCCAGGUGUUUCCAUUCGGUGAUCAGCACUGAACACAGAGAACUCACCAUGGAGUUUGGACUGAGCUGGGUUUUCCUUGUUGCUAUUUUAAAAGGUGUCCAGUGUGAAGUGCAGCUGGUGGAGUCUGGUGGAGGCGUCGUACAGCCUGGGGGGUCCCUGAGACUCUCGUGUGCAGCCUCUGGAUUCACCUUUGAUGAUUAUGCCAUGGGCUGGGUCCGCCAAGCUCCAGGGAAGGGUCUGGAGUGGGUCUCUGGUAUUAGCUGGAAUGCUGGUAGCAUACGCUAUGCAGACUCCGUGAAGGGCCGAUUCACCAUCUCCAGAGACAACGCCAAGAACUCCCUGUAUCUGCAAAUGGACAGGCUGACAGCUGAGGACACGGCCUUGUAUUACUGUGCAAAAGAUACAUAGUGAGGGGAAGUC